rnacentral:rRNA from 1 species
GACGAACGCUGGCGGCGUGCUUAACACAUGCAAGUCGAACGGAAAGGUCCUGCUUUUGUUGGGUUCUCGAUUGCCGAACGCGUGUGUAUCACGUGUGUAACCUGCCCUUGUCUUUGUGAUAACUUUAGGAAACUGCGGCUAAUAUCGGAUAUGAGCUCCUGCUGCAUGUUGUGCGUUGGAAAGUUUCGGCUGUUCUGUAUCUUUUCGCGGCUUAUCAGCUUGUUUGGGGGGUGGUGGCUUACCAAGGCUUUCACGGGUAGGCGGCCUGAGCGGGUGACCGGCGACAUUGGGACUGAGAGAAGGCACAGACUGCUACGGGAGGCAGCAGGGGGGAAGAUUGAAGAAUGGGCGGAAGGCGGAUGAAGCAACGCCGCGUGCGGGAUAACGGCCUUCGGGUUGUAAAACGAUUUCGCCUGUAACGAAGCGUGAGUGACGGUAAUGGGUAAAGAAGCACCGGCUAACUACGUG